AUUGAACGCUGGCGGCAUGCUUUACACAUGCAAGUCGAACGGCAACAGGCCUUCGGGCGCUGACGAGUGGCGAACGGGUGAGUAAUGCAUCGGAACGUGCCCAGUCGUGGGGGAUAACGCAGCGAAAGCUGUGCUAAUACCGCAUACGAUCUGCGGAGGAAAGCGGGGGACCUUCGGGCCUCGCGCGAUUGGAGCGGCCGAUGUCAGAUUAGGUAGUUGGUGGGGUAAAGGCUCACCAAGCCAACGAUCUGUAGCUGGUCUGAGAGGACGACCAGCCACACUGGGACUGAGACACGGCCCAGACUCCUACGGGAGGCAGCAGUGGGGAAUUUUGGACAAUGGGCGCAAGCCUGAUCCAGCAAUGCCGCGUGCAGGAAGAAGGCCUUCGGGUUGUAAACUGCUUUUGUACGGAGCGAAAAGGCUCCCUCUAAUACAGGGGGCUCAUGACGGUACCGUAAGAAUAAGCACCGGCUAACUACGUGUCAGCAGCCGCAGUAAAAC
rnacentral:rRNA from 1 species